CCGGCACGGGUGAGUAACACGUAUGCAAUCCACCUGUAACAGGGGGAUAACCCGGAGAAAUCCGGACUAAUACCCCAUAAUAUGGGCGCUCCGCAUGGAGAGCCCAUUAAAGAGAGCAAUUUUGGUUACAGACGAGCAUGCGCUCCAUUAGCCAGUUGGCGGGUAACGGCCCACCAAAGCGACGAUGGAUAGGGGUUCUGAGAGGAAGGCCCCCACAUUGGAACUGAGACACGGUCCAA
rnacentral:rRNA from 1 species